GUUUUAAGUCUCAGAGGCCUAAAUAUCCUAAAGGUGCCAGAUCUAAUAUAAUCUUUAAAACUAAAUAGAGUCAUCCCUGGUAGUACUUGGAUGAGAAAUCACUAAUGAAUAUGAGAUACUUUAGACC
rnacentral:rRNA from 11 species